rnacentral:rRNA from 1 species
UACAGAGGUCCCAAGCGUUGUUCGGAUUCAUUGGGCGUAAAGGGUGCGUAGGCGGCGCGGUAAGUCGGGUGUGAAAUCUCGGGGCUUAACUCCGAAACUGCAUUCGAUACUGCCGUGCUUGAGGACUUGAGAGGAGACUGGAAUUUACGGUGUAGCGGUGAAAUGCGUAGAUAUCAGGAGGAACACCGGUGGCGAAGGCGGCUCUCUGGACGGUGACUGACGCUGAGACGCGAAAGCGUGGGGAGCAAACAGG